CAGCAGCCGCGGUAAUUCAGAGGGUGCAAGCGUUGUUCGGAAUUAUUGGGCGUAAAGCGCGUGUAGGCGGCUUUGCAAGUCGGGUGUGAAAGCCCUCGGCUCAACCGAGGAAGUGCGCCCGAAACUGCAGAGCUUGAGUGCCGGAGAGGGUGGCGGAAUUCCCCAAGUAGAGGUGAAAUUCGUAGAUAUGGGGAGGAACACCAGUGGCGAAGGCGGCCACCUGGACGGUUACUGACGCUGAGACGCGAAAGCGUGGGGAGCAAACAGGAUUAGAUACCCUGGUAGUCCACGCCGUAAACGAUGAGAACUAGGUGUCGUGGGUGUUGACCCCCGCGGUGCCGUAGCUAACGCAUUAAGUUCUCCGCCUGGGAAGUACGGUCGCAAGACUAAAACUCAAAUGAAUUGACGG
rnacentral:rRNA from 1 species